UUUGCCCUCAGGAACUUCUGGGAAGGCAUUAGGCCUGGUUAGAUGCUGGUUGCCAUGGAGCCCAGGGCCAGAGGCAGUUUCUGGUCGUGCCUAGGAGCUGUGCAACGCCAGCCCUUGAGGAGGAAGCCAUCUGUUUCUGGAAUCACCCUCCCCGCCACGUAUAUGAGACAUAUCCUUGAUUGUCCGUGAAAUCAGGUGGUCCAGGGCCAGGUUGGUCCAUAGAGAGACCUGCCAGAACACAGCCUUGAUCUCGCAAGUCAUAUGGAGCAACAGGAAGACAGCCAUCUGCAAACCAGCAAGCUGACUUUCAGCAGAUGCUGCUUCUCCUGGCACCUUGAUCUUGGACUUCCUGGCCUCUAGAACUAUGAGAAAGAAAUGUUUAAGAUUUCCAGUCUGCAAACCAGCAAAUGGGCCCUCACCAGACACUGCCUGUCCUGGCACCUUGAUCUUGGACUUCUCAGCCUCCAGAAAUGUCAAGGGAUUGAGGCUGGACGCUGGGAUCUAUCCAAGCGGCUGAGUGAAGAAACCAGGCCAUGGUGUCAUGUUUCUGCCAUUGAUCACCUUAGACGCCCCGACCCAGGAACCUCAAACUACUCUUCCAUCCUCCCAAGCCUCGCAGACUGUCAGCUUCUCCAAGCCAUGUUUCCACCUUUCUCCUUUGCUGAUCCCCAUCUGCCUCUCCCUCACCUCCCCAUUCUUCCAGCUCUCUGUCCUCAAAACAUUUCCUCAUCACAGAUAAGAACUUGCAAUUGGAGAAAAAUGGAAACCUUCCCUUGAGCUCUGUCUGCUCUCUCUCUCUCUCUCUCUUUUUUUUUUUUUGAGAUGGAGUCUCCCUCUUGUUGCCCAGACUGGAGUGCAGUGGCACAAUCUUGGUUCACUGCAACCUCCGCCUCCUGGGUUCAAAUGAUUCUCCUGCCUCAGCCUCUUGAGUAGCUGGGACUACAGGCACGCACCACCAUGCCCAACUCACUUUUGUAUUUUUGGUAGAGACAGGGUUUCAUCGUGUUAACCAGGAUGGUCUCGAUCUUCUGACCUCGUGACCCGUCUGCCUCGGCCUUCCUCUCUCAUCUUUUGAGCACAUCUCCUGACCCCCUUCAUUGCUCCCCAGACUUUCUUUCCACGUGGCCAUGCUUGGCCCCAUUCCCUGCACCCUCCUUCCCCGAUCCCUGGCUUCCUGAGUCCGGCGUUUCUUUCCCCACACCCUACUCAGGUGCUUCAGAUUCCCAGUAACUGGCCCCCUUCCCUCUCCUCAGUCAAUCAUCUCCCAUCGCUGCUCCCUCCAGUCACCUCACCUGAUGGUCCUGGCACUUCAUCAUCCACCACCACCUCGGGGGACCGCACCGUUGUGCUAGGCUGGGGGCUCUCCUCCUCAAACGGGGGGCGUGCUUGACCACUGGCCAUAAUCUCUCCCAAACACUUUGUUUCUGUCCACAAAACCUAGUCCCUGUUCUGUCCAAAGCCUUCUUCCAGACUCCGUUAGGACCCAGAAGAGUGCGUUUCUCUUCUAGAGGCUCGGGAGAAGUUAGGAGUGAAGAGCAGUUCUGAGAAGUUGCUGUUGUCCACCUGAACUCCCAAGCAACCAGAGUCCGGUCCCUCCAAUCAGGAAAGUCGGAAUCUCUGAUGUCAUCGGUCUUUCCAAACUGGCAACUAGUUUGAAGAAAAACACAUGUAACUGCCAGACUCAUCUCUUUUCUUGGAGAUCCGGGGUGAACGGUAUCUCCUGGCAAUGUCCCAACCUCUGAGCAUUGUCCAAAAGCAUCCUCAGGGUCUCCACAUUCCUCUUUUCCCUGUCCCAGCAGAGGCUGUGUCCUCUCCACUCUAAACUUGAGGGGGUGUUGGGCUCUCCUCCCCGCUUCUCCUUCCCAUUUCAGAGUCUAGUCUGGUGAGAGAGGGAGGAAGGUGGAAGGAAAUUUAGGGUAAGCAGAAUGAUGAGUCCUUCCAAGAGUGAGAUUAACAUAUACAGGAGAUCCUGGGUAAAUUGACUUGUUGAAUGGAGACGUUACGUCGAAGUACUCAAUGUGGCAAAGCUUUUUUGCUGAAUGUUUACUGAUAUUCACUAUCCUGGAUCCUAUAGUAGGGGAACACGCAUCCUUUGCUCUCAGGCAUCUUUGAGUCCAAGAGACAUUUUGAGGAAUGAAAAUCACAGGAGACUGUCCAUGGGUUCGUACAGAUUUUCAAUGGUGUCCACAAGUUCAGGGCAUCCAUGGAUCACCUAAAGCCUGCCCCUCCAGUUCAGCUAAGGAACUCUGGUCUAUAUAUCAACUAUUACAACAUAUCUAUUUCACUUGACCCCAAAAUUUGCCUACUAUUUAUGUAUUUUAUGAAUAAAAUAUCCUGUGUAUAAAAAGACUAAGGGGAAAAAUCUCAGCCAGGCCCAGGGGCUCCUGCUCAUAAUCUCCCUCCUUUGGGAGGCCAAGGCAGGGCGUCACUUGAGGUUAGGAGUUCAAGAUUAGUCUGGGCAACAUAGCAAAAUGUCAUCUCUACAAAAUAUAAACAAAGUAAUCAGGAAUCGUGGCACACACCUGUGGUCCCAGUACUUGGGAGGCUGAGGCAGGAGGAUUGCUUCAGCCCAAGUGUUUGAGGCUGCAGUGAGCUAUGAUUGCACCACUGCACACCAGCCUGGAGGACAGAGUGAGACUCAGUCUCAAAAAUAUUUUUUUCGGAAAAAAUAAAAAUGUAAGAGCUGGAUACUAUCUCAGAUACCAUCCAAAGAACCUGUGAGUUCUGGCACAGCUUCCUAAUGGGCUCCUAGGAGUCUCUCGCUGAUGGGAAAGGCACAACUGAAUGAGGAGGCAGAUCCCGUCGCUGUGGAAGUCCAAUUGUUAGGAAACUCUGCUUACGUUGAGUGGACCUUCGCAUUUACGAUGCUUUCAACCAUCAGAACUGGUUGGAUCCUUUUACAACAAAACAGAAAAUCAUCUUUCUCUCCUAUUUAAUAGGCUUUCAAACAUUAGAAGAUCAAUAUUCUGUUGCCAUUAAAAUUUCUCUUCUGUACCA